rnacentral:tRNA from 1 species
GCCUGGGUGACUCAGUCGGUAGAGUGUCUGACUUCGGCUCAGAUCAUGAUCUCACAGUUCAUGCGUUCAAGCCUCACGUCAGGCU